CGGGAAAAGCUCAAAUUUAAAAUCUGGUGGUCUUGGGCCAUCCGAGUUGUACCCUAGAGAAGUGUUUUCUGUGCCGGACCAUGUACAAGUCUCUUGGAACAGAGCGUCAUAGAGGGUGAGAAUCCCGUCCUUGACAUGGAGCCCCCGGGACUAUACGAUGCACUCUC
rnacentral:rRNA from 1 species